rnacentral:rRNA from 1 species
AACGAACGCUGGCGGCAGGCUUAACACAUGCAAGUCGAGCGCCCCGCAAGGGGAGCGGCAGACGGGUGAGUAACGCGUGGGAACGUACCCUUUGCUACGGAAUAGCUCCGGGAAACUGGAAUUAAUACCGUAUGUGCCCUACGGGGGAAAGAUUUAUCGGCAAAGGAUCGGCCCGCGUUGGAUUAGCUAGUUGGUGGGGUAAUGGCCUACCAAGGCGACGAUCCAUAGCUGGUCUGAGAGGAUGAUCAGCCACAUUGGGACUGAGACACGGCCCAAACUCCUACGGGAGGCAGCAGUGGGGAAUAUUGGACAAUGGGCGCAAGCCUGAUCCAGCCAUGCCGCGGGAGUGAUGAAGGCCUUAGGGUUGUAAAGCUCUUUCACCGGAGAAGAUAAUGACGGUAUCCGGAGAAGAAGCCCCGGCUAACUUCGUGCCAGCAGCCGCCGUAACAC